GCGUCGAUAGUAUGUAGAGUACAGCUGCCUUCCAAGCAGAAAGAAGGAGUUCCUAUGGCGUA
rnacentral:tRNA from 1 species